GCCAUAGUCAGUAGGUGGGGGGUGAGAACGGCUUCAUACAGGAGUUGAUGCACAGUUAUCCAGCUCCUAUAUGAUGCCUUUCUUCAUCCCCUUCAA
rnacentral:pre_miRNA from 12 species